GUGAGUCAUCGAGUCUUUGAACGCACAUUGCGCUCUCUGGUAUUCCGGAGAGCAUGCCUGUUUGAGCGUCAUUAAAACCUCUCAAUCGAUUUGAAUGUUUGCGCAUUGCAAGUUGAUUGGUAUUGGACGCUCUGCGCGGCACCUUCACGGGUGCUGUGCUUGUCUGAAAGAUAUUGCAACGAAAACGUAAUAAGAAAUUACUUCGUGAUCAGUUUGCAUAUAACCUAAGCUUGUCGAAAUUUUAUUUCUACAAGUUUACUUCUAAUUUUGACCUCAAAUCAGGUAGGACUACGCGCUGAACUUAAGCAUAUCAAUAAGGCGAGG
rnacentral:rRNA from 1 species